UUUGUGCGGGUUUGGGUUUGGUAAUGACAAACCCGCUGCGGGCGGUGCCCAUUGCCAUCCCUACGUUAAGCUCUGCUUACCUGUUGAAUGUCUUUGACUUUUACCAAUGAAAAUAUUAACGGUGAGCCUACUUUUCGAAUUAAAGAAUCAAAAUUUGAAAUCAUAAUUAUUCACGGUAUUUAUUUCAUAAAAUAGAAGUUUAAAUCAGACUAGAAAUUAUGGGACUUACUACAAUUUGAGAAUAAAAAAUGAAAAAUUAAUUCUCAUGGGAGGUUGGGAUUGAGUCUCCCCUUCCCUAAACUUCCAAUUCUAUCCUCAUUUAGGUUUCAAUAUUUUCAAAAUACACUCGUUAAUAAUCAUUAUUAUUAUUAUUGUUGUUGUUGUUGUUGUUAUUAUUAUUGUUUUAAUAUUUUUUUAUUUUUUUAUUAAUAUUAACAUUGUUAAAUUUUUCUUAUUUUUAUUAAUUUAUUAAUUAUUUAUUAUUAUAAUUGUAGUUGGAGGAAAGCUAGCGAAUUGGGUUGAGUUGAAACGGUUAUAGGAUGGAGCUUAUGAGGCGGCAUUAUCAUUGUAAGAGGGACUCAUGUGCGGUGAAAGGUCGGUUGGCAGAGUCCGGCGAGUUUGGUGGGUUGACUCAAUAGGUUCGUUAGGCCAACUCAUGGUUAAGGCGAUGGCUGUGACAAAAAACAAAGAGAUUAAGCUAAGUUAAAAAUGAAGCGUACGCAAAAACAAGUAGUGGUUUCUGUAUGAGAAGAGAAGAAAGCGUAACGACGAAGGUAUGGAUUUUGCAAAAAGAUGAAUAACGUUUGUUAGUUUUUACAGACCUUAUAAGGGUGCGUUUGAGAUUGAGAUUAAGUAGCUGUAGUUUAAAAGUUAUAAUAUUAAAAUAUUUGGUAAACACUAGUUGUUGUACCUUAGAAGUUAUGUUAAUAAUAUAUUUCACUUAUAUGAUAAAA
rnacentral:lncRNA from 1 species